GAUGAACGCUAGCGGGAGGCCUAACACAUGCAAGCCGAGCGGUAUUGUUUCUUCGGAAAUGAGAGAGCGGCGUACGGGUGCGUAACACGUGUGCAACCUGCCUUUAUCUGGGGGAUAGCCUUUCGAAAGGAAGAUUAAUACUCCAUAAUAUAUUGAACGGCAUCGUUUAAUAUUGAAAGCUCCGGCGGAUAGAGAUGGGCACGCGCAAGAUUAGCUAGUUGGUGAGGUAACAGCUCACCAAGGCGAUGAUCUUUAGGGGGCCUGAGAGGGUGAUCCCCCACACUGGAACUGAGACACGGACCAGACUCCUACGGGAGGCAGCAGUGAGGAAUAUUGGUCAAUGGGUGCAAGCCUGAACCAGCCAUCCCGCGUGAAGGACGACUGCCCUAUGGGCUGUAAACUUCUUUUGUAUAGGGAUAAACCUACCCUCGUGAGGGUAGCUGAAGGUACUAUACGAAUAAGCACCGGCUAACUCCGUGCCAGCCGCCGCCGUAA
rnacentral:rRNA from 1 species